GCCUGAUCCAGCCAUGCCGCGUGAGUGAAGAAGGCCUUCGGGUUGUAAAGCUCUUUCAGUUGGGAAGAAAAGGCGCGCUCUAACAUAGCGCGCUGCUGACGGUACCGACAGAAGAAGCACCGGCUAACUACGUGCCAGCAGCCGCGGUAAUA
rnacentral:rRNA from 1 species